rnacentral:lncRNA from 1 species
CAAUAUUCGUAACGUCAGCGGCAUAAUGGUGAGAAAUAUUUUCUAACAAUGUUAACUUUUUUAUCGCACUAUGUUUGUAAAAAAUAUGUUUCAUGAUAAACGAAGUUUAUGAAUUUCCUCUCAUGUUUCUUUUGUUUGAAUAACCAAUGAAGUUUUACUAGAGGGUGGAGGGAGCAGGAACAUCUUAACAUUGUUCUCUUGAGCAACACAACAAUGGUAAAACGAAUCUUCUUGAGCAACUCUCUUUGGAAACUAUAAAUCAUUUUUGGUACAAGUUAUUUAUGAACAAAACGUAAUUUGUUUUUAAUGCAUUAUUUCCCCUGUUUAUUACAACUGUAGAAGUUAUUUAUGAUUUGAGUUAAUGAACUUUCGAUUUUAUAUUUAUUUUAUUGUUGAAUGAUGAAAGAGGUGUACCAAAUAAGCAUAUCUAGAAGUAUAUAUAUAUAUAUAUAUAUAAAUUGUGCUCACAAGGGUAGAACCAAUCUCACUUAUAUGGAACUUUGACUAGUUAAUUUUUUUCUCGCAUUAUGGUUACAAGGUCAAUACUAAUUCAAAAAAAAGUUUAUGAAAACUCUCUCAUGUGUCUUUUGCCGUUGACCAAUUGAUGAAGUAUGGCAAGUAAUGCUAUCGGAGCAUCUUGAAGAAUUUAUUCUAGUAGAAGGUCCAACUCAGCUUCCUUGAGGCAUUCCACAAAAGGGUAGAAUCGAAUAGAAAAUGUGAUAAUUUACAAACAUUGCUCUCUUUGUAAAAUAGACCUUCUUAUUCUUAUGACUAAUACGAAAAAAAUAAAAAAAUCACAUCCUUCUUUUUAAAAAAUAGGAAUUUAUUCCAAGAAUAUUUGUAAUAUCCCUCUUUGAAUAUGGAUCCAAGGACUCCAAUUUGUUAUCCCUAAUAUGACAUGGCCAACUAAAGAAACAUUAUAAUUUCGCUUGUGACUUAAGUAAAUCCAUUGGACAUAUGCAAAAUUGAUUAUAUAUCCGAUGGUUUGAGUUGAAUCCUACCACAUGGAUGUUGUAGGAUGGCGUUGGGUGGUUUGGAGGAGUCUAUUACGUAUUGGAGCCUAAUGUCGCUUAUUUUUAUUGGAUUUAAUCAACUUUGACAUUUGGUGAAGUGUGAUUGAAUACUCAGUAUCGUACUUCUCUGAUAGUCAUCUUGGAUUGAAACUAACUACACCUAGUUUCUCCAUAUAACCCAUUCAAUUAUAUUGAGUGUUGUUAUCAAGAUUGCUAGGUGCAAAAAGUUGGUUGCCAUUCCUUUAGUCCGAGGCGCAAGCCGCUAGCCUAGAUGCUAGCGGUAGCCGAAUGAGGUGCAACAUUAUAUAUUUUAUGGUCUAUAUAGGUAGAAACUAUUCGCUUCAGUUUCUUUGGUUGUCCAUUGUUUUUUUUCUAGCUAUAGUAGCUUCUCUCUUGUUCUUCAUAUUUUCUAUAUCAGUCACAUCACCUAUGUUUUUUGAUUAGAUGUUGUAACUAGUCUAUUUGGUUUAGAUUUUGGCAUUGAUACCGACCAAAUAGAACUGGAUGAUUUGUCUAGAGUGUUUAGCCCUGGAUGUAACUACAUAUGGAUAAACCUUGGAUAGAGGGCCCACCAUAAAAUCCAUGGAAACGGCUUCAGACCAUGAUGCAUACUGCAUAGGUGAUGACAGUCCAGAAUUAUAUCCUCUUCAAGUAGGAAAAAAAUAUAAACAUUGGAUGGGGACCGCACCAAAAAAUCCAUGGAAAUUACUUCAGGCAUGGAUGCAUACCGCCUAUUUAACACCUGUCCAGAUUUUUGACCGUUCAAGUAGAAAAAUAAAAUAAACUCUGGAUGGAGGCGCACCACAAAAUGUAUAGAAAAUUCUUUAGGUCUGGAUGCAUCCAACCCUUGAACUCGACAAACAAAAAUAAACAUUUGGAAAUAGGGAGUACCAUAAAAUCCAUUGUAAUUGCUUCAGGCCUGGAUGCAUAUGAUGACUGUCCAGAUAUUUGGCCCAUUAAAGUCAGCAAACAUAGUCAACUUCGGAAGGAGGGCGUACUACAAGAGCCACGGAAACUGGUUGAGGCAUGGAACAUACUGUUUACAUGACGACUAGCCAAAUUUUAUUCAAGGGGUCGAACUGAAUAAACUUUGCAUUAAAACUACUUAAGAUCGGGAUGCCUAUUGUUUAGAUAUUCAUUCUUUCAAAAAUUAUUGGAUUUUACUAAGAGAAACAUUAUAUCGUGUAGUAAAAAGUAAGAGAAAUUCAUGUUCAUGUUGUCCAACCACAUAGUUUACAAAUGAUAAUAACAUGAUUUUUAUAUUUUCUAAAUACAUAAUUAAUUUGAAAUAGAAAAAGCAAGAGAAAUUCAUGUUUCAUGUUUCGUAACCACACAUCUUACUUCUCAUAUUUUACUAUUAGGUUACUUUUUCACGUGCAUCAAAUGCGAAUAUUACCUUAUGUACCAAGAAAAAGAUUAUUCAUUUUUCCUUAUCCAUCCAUUACCAUCGACGCCACUACAAAGAAUCGAAAUCAAAUACAACAAGAUCUCCUAAAAUUAUUAAUUAAAAAUAACAUUUAAUAGGAUAAUUAAUUUUUCGGUAUGUAAUAAUAACGCAUGGCCAUUAGGCUGAGUAAGAAUACAAAUGUAUUUAACAUUUUUUUUGAUUGUACAAUAAAUUUGUGUAGACGGUUCACCCUUAUAGUUUGAGAUAGUUUAUAUGCGUCCGUCCAAUUUGAAUAUUUUUCGAAGAUAAAUAUACAUAUAUUAAAUAUGUUAGUGUUGGAUAAAUCAGCUAACCGGAGUCUCAUAAUUCAGUUUUGUUAAACAAGGAGUACUUAAGGAUGGUGUAUCUCAUCUACUUAUAUUUGCUUUAGAAUCCGUUAAUUAGAUACCUUGUGCCAUUUAAAAAUAAUAUUAAAAAAAAAUAUUAAGAAAACAAUACAAAUCGCAUUUGUUAUUUCAAAAUCAAUUUUACAAUAAGAUAAUACUUGGGUUAUUGACACACAAAUCCAAAUCACAAAUACAAGCCCAGUGGGCUUUGCAUUUCUCUUAAUGUACCGCCACAUUCCUAGGUUACUACGACACUCUCACUAUAUAUUAAGAAAAAACGACUAUAAAAAAUCUCUCCGUCUCUACGCCGAUAUAGUGCCCAAAAUGCUGAAAUCAAUGGAUUCAUUCAAAGAUCUCCAAUGCCAGAGGCCGCCUCACGAACCUCCGCCGCAAAGGUAUUUUCCCUAAUUCCAAAAUAAAGUUUUUUUCGAUUAGAUUGCAUGCAAAGUUGAUUUGAGUAUAAAAUUUAUUGUUCUAGAGAUGAUAGGUUUAAUUUGGAGAAACAAAUUUAAGAUAUUCUUUGUUCUCCAUGUUUGGUUUGUAUGGCAAAUUUAUGUUUUUCGUACUGCAUUGAUUUGCAUUGAUUCAGAUUUUUAUGAAUCAAACAUUUAUGUACACUAGACUUUGAUUCAUAUCCUUUUUUUUUAAUCAAACAUUUAUAUACGUUAAGAUAUUUUGUAUUUCUCUCUUUGAUUCAUAAAAAAAAAAGAUCGUUGAUUCAGAUCUGCGUCGCAUUACGCUUCUUUUUCUCUUUGAAACCUUUAAAACGAUAUUACUUUGUUUUGGGGGUGCUGAGAUUUAACUAGAUCUCGGUAUCUGAAUUUUGUAAUUUUGGUUUUUUUUUACUGAAUGUUUGUUUAAUCCUAUAUUUAAUUGGAGGAUUAAGAUAUAUUACUAUUUUACCUUAUUUUUUACAGUAAGAUUAUUUUUGAAUAUAACCAUUUCGAUUUCUCCGUGUAACUAUGUAACCACAUGCCAAAUGAACAUUUCUUUGGUAGUUGUUGUUAUAAAGUUAGAUAUGAUCAAAGUUUACUAACUAUCUCUUUUCUUUUUAUUUUGUUGUUGAUAGAGAGAUGUAGAUUCAUCAGAGAUGCAUUUCGAACAAUAUUCGUAACGUCAGCGGCAUAAUGGUAAGAAAUAUUUUCUAACAAAGUUAACUUUUUUCUCGCACAAUGUUUCUCAAAAUAUGUAUCACGAUAAACGAAGUUUAUGAAUUUCCUCUCAUGUUUCUUUUGUUAUUGACUAACCAAUGAAGUUUUACCGGAGGGUAGAGGCAGCAUGAACAUCUUAACAGUGUUCUCGUGAGCGACGCAACAAUGGUAAAACGAAUCUUCUUGAGCAACUCUCUUUGGAAAGUAUAAAUCAUGUUUGGUACAAGUUAUUUAUGAACAAAACUUAAUUUAUUUAUGAUGAACUAUUUUCCUUGUUUUGUACGAUGUAGAAGUCAAUUAUGAUUUGAGUUAAUGAACUUUCGAUUUUAUUCUUAUUUUAUUGUUGAAUGAUGAAAGAGGUGUACCAAAUAAGCAUAUCUAGAAGUAUAUAUAUAUAUAUAUAUAUAUAUAUAUAUAUAUAAAUUGUGCUCACAAGGGUAGAACCAAUCUCACUUAUAUGGAACUUUGACUAGUUAAUUUUUUUCUCGCAUUAUGGUUACAAGGUCAAUACUAAUUCAAAAAACGUUUAUGAAAACUCUCUCAUGUGUCUUUUGACGUUGACCAAUUGAUGAAGUAUGGCAAGUAUUGCUAUCGGAGCAUCUUGAAGAAUUAAUUCUUGUAGAAGGUCCAACUCAGCUUCCUUGAGGCAUUCCACAAAAGGGUAGAAUCGAAUAGAAAAUGUGAUAAUUUACAAACAUUGAUCUCUUCGUAAAAUAGACCUUUUUAUUCUUAUGACUAAUACGAAAAAAAUAAAAAAAUCAUAUCAUUCUUUUUCAAAAAUAGGAAUUUAUUCCAAGAACAAUUGUAAUAUCCCUCUUUGAAUCUGGAUCCAAGGACUCCAAUUUGUUAUCCCUAAUAUGACAUGGCCAACUAAAGAAACAUUAUAAUUUCGCUUGUGACUUAAGUAAAUCCAUUGGACAUAUGCAAAAUUGAUUAUAUAUCCGAUGGUUUGCGUUGAAUCCUACCACAUGGAUGUUGUAGGAUGGCGUUGGGGGGUUUCGAGGAGUCUAUUACGUAUUGGAGCCUUGUGUCGCUUAUUUUUAUUGGAUUUAAUCAACUUUGACAUUUGGUGAAGUGUGAUUGAAUUCUCAGUAUCGUACUUCUUUGAUAGUCUUCUUGCAUUGAAACUAACUACACCUAGUUUCUCUAUAUAACUCAUUCAAUUAUAUUGAGUGUUGUUAUCAAGAUUGCUAGGUGCAAAAAGUUGGUUGCCAUUUCUUUAGUCCGAGGCGCAAGCCGCUAGCCAAGAUGCUAGCGGUAGCCGAAUGAGGCGCAACAUUAUAUAUUUUAUGGUCUAUAUAGGUAGAAAUUAUUCGCUUCAGUCUCUUUGGUUGUCCAUUGUUUUUUUUCUAGCUAUAGUAGCUUCUCUCUUGUUCUUCAUAUUUGCUAUAUCAGUCACAUCACCAAUGUUUCUUGAUUAGAUAUUGUAACUAGUCUAUUUGGUUUAGAUUUUGGCAUUGAUACCGACCAAAUAGAACAAGAUGAUUUGUCUCGAGUGUUUAGCCCAGGAUGUAACUACAUAUGGAUAAACCUUGGAUAGAGGGCGCACCAUAAAAUCCAUGGAAACGGCUUCAGGCCUGGAUGCAUACUGCAUAGGUGAUGACAGUCCAGAUUUAUAGCCCCUUCAAGUUGGAAAAAAACAUAAACAUUGGAUGGGGACCGCACCAAAAAAUCCAUGGAAAUUACUUCAGGCCUGGAUGCAUACCGCCUAUUUGACGUAUGUCUAGAGUUUUGACCGUUCAAGUAGAAAAAUAAAAUAAACUUUGGAAGGAGGCGCACCACAAAAUGUAUAGAAAAUUCUUUAGGUCUGGAUGCAUCCAACCCUUGAACUCGACAAACAAAAAUAAAUAUUUGGAAAUAGGGAGCACCAUAAAAUCCAUCGCAAUUGCUUCAGGCUUGGAUGCAUAUGAUGACUGUCCAGAUAUUUGGCCCAUUAAAGUCAGUAAACAUAGUCAACUUCGGAAGGAGGGCGUACUACAAGAUCCACGGAAACUCGUUGAGGCACGGAACAUACUGUUUACAUGACGACUAGCCAAAUUUUAUUCAAGGGGUCGAACUGAAUAAACUUUGCAUUAAAACUACUUAAGAUCGGGAUGCCUAUUGUUUAGAUAUUCAUUCUUUCGAAAAUUAUUGGAUUUUACUAAGAGAAACAUUAUAUCGUGUAGUAAAAAGUAAGAGAAAUUCAUGUUCAUGUUGUCCAACCACAUAGUUUACAAAUGAUAAUACUAUUUAUAUUUUCUAAAUACAUAAUUAAUUUGAAAUAGAAAAAGCAAGAGAAAUUCAUGUUUCAUGUUUCCUAACCACACAUCUUACUUCUCAUAUUUUACUAUUAGGUUACUUUUUCACGUGCAUCAAAUGCGAAUAUUACCUUAUGUACCAAGAAAAAGAUUAUUCAUUUUUCCUUUUCCAUCCCUUACCAUCGACGCCACUACAAAGAAUCGAAAUCAAAUACAACAAGAUCUCCUAAAAUUAUUAAUUAAAACUAAAAUUUAAUAGGGUAAUUAAUUUUUCGGUAUGUAAUAAUAACGCAUGGCCAUUAGGCUGAGUAAGAAUACAAAUGUAUUUAACAUUCUUUUUGAUUGUACAAUAAAUUUGUGUACACGGUUCACCCUUAUAGUUUGAGAUAGUUUAUAUGCGUCCAAUUUGAAUAUUUUUGAAGAUAAAUAUACAUAUAUUAAAUAUGUUAGUAUUGGAUAAAUCAGCUAACCGGAGUCUCAUAAUUCAGUUUUGUUAAACAAGGAGUACUUAAGAAUGGUGUAUCCCAUCUACUUAUACUUGCUUUACAAUCCGUUAAUUAGAUACCUUGUGCCAUUUAAAAACAAUAUUAAAAAAAAUAUUAAGAAAACAAUACAAUUUGUAUUUGUUAUUUCAAAAUCAAUUUUACAAUAAGAUAAUACUUGGGUUACUGACACACAAAUCCAAAUUACAAAUACAAGCCCAGUGGGCUUUGCAUUUCUCUUAAUGUACCGCCACAUUCCUAGGUUACUACGCCGCUCUCACUAUAUAUAAAGAAAAAACGACUAAAAAAAAUCUCUCCGUCUUUACGCCGACAUAGUGCCCAAAAUGCUGACAUCAAUGGGUUCAUUCAAAGAUCUCCAAUGCCAGAGGCCGCCUCCCGAACCUCCGCCGCAAAGGUAUUUUCCCUAAUUCCAAAAUAAAGUUUUUUUCGAUUAGAUUGCAUGCAAAGUUGAUUUGAGUAUAAGAUUUAUUGUUCUAGAUAUGAUAGGUUUAAUUUGGAGAAACAAAUUUAAGAUAUUCUUUGUUCUCCAUGUUUGGUUUGUAUGGCAAAUUUAUGUUUUUCGUACUGCAUUGAUUUGCAUUGAUUCAGAUUUUUAUGAAUCAAACAUUUAUGUACACUAGACUUUGAUUCAUAUCCUUUUUUUUAAUCAAACAUUUCUAUACAUUAAGAAAUUUUGUAUUUCUCUCUUUGAUUCAUAAAAAAAAAAGAUCUAUGAUUCAGAUCUGCGUCGCAUUAAGCUUCUUUUUCUCUUUGAAACCUUUAAAACGAUAUUACUUUGUUUUGGGGGUGCUGAGAUUUAACUAGAUCUCGCUAUCUGAAUUUUGUAAUUUUUGUUUUUUUUUUACUGAAUGUUUGUUUAAUCCUAUAUUUAAUUGGAGGAUUAAGAUAUAUUACUAUUUUACCUUAUUCUUUACCAUAAGAUUAUUUUUGAAUAUAACCAUUUUGAUUUCUCCGUGUAACUAUGUAACCACAUGCCAAAUGAACAUUUCUUUGAUAGUUGUUGUUAUAAAGUUAGAUAUGAUCAAAGUUUACUAACUAUCUCUUUUCUUUUUAUUUUGUUGUUGAUAGAGAGAUGUAGAUUCAUCAGAGAAUCAUUUCGAACAAUAUUCGUAACGUCAGCGGCAUAAUUGUAAGAAAUAUUUUCUAACAAAGUUAACUUUUUUCUCGCACAAUGUUUUUCAAAAUAUGUAUCACGAUAAACGAAGUUUAUGAAUUUCCUCUCAUGUUCCUUUUGUUAUUGACUAACCAAUGAAGUUUUACCGGAGGGUGGAGGCAGCAUGAACAUCUUAACAGUGUUCUCGUGAGCGACGCAACAAUGGUAAAACGAAUCUUCCUGAGCAACUCUCUUUGGAAAGUAUAAAUCGUGUUUGGUACAAGUUAUUUAUGAACAAAACUUAAUUUAUUUUUGAUGCACUAUUUUCCAUGUUUUUUACGAUGUAGAAGUCAAUUAUGAUUUGAGUUAAUGAACUUUCGAUUUUAUUUUUAUUUUAUUGUUGAAUGAUGAAAGAGGUGUACCAAAUAAGCAUAUCUAG